AUGCCUAGCCCACUAGUCAUGCGCAUGGCCGCCUCCUUGAUCCACCCACCGCUUGUGAUUGUUGUCCAUCCUAAAUCUCGGAAUCAAAGAGGUGCUGAAUUUGGUUACUUCGGUCUCUGCAUCACCUUGGAAGAGGAGACCAUUGUCCACAGGGUGUGGCGUUGCCCCCAUUUGGUUCAGUUCUGGAGACUGCUCAGUAAAGAAAUAGGGGUCCCAUUGCCACAGCUACCUAAACACAUAGAUUUGAUGGACAACAUGCUAUCAUGGGUACUAGACUGGUUUGUGUGUGCAGCAGAUGAGGAGAAACGGACUGUUAUGAGGGCGUGGUAUGAGCUGUGGCUUGCGCGCAACAGUGCGCGGGAGAGCAGCCGGAUUGAGGAUCCGGGCUCGGUCUCCGAGAGAGUUGUUCGCGUUGGUGAAGAGUGGAGAGCGAUCAGAGAGUCUCCAACAAACCCACCUGUGCGCCGGACCUUGGAAUCCUGGAGGAAACCAGAGGAGGGCUGGACAAAGGUCAAUACGGACGGGGCACUGGCUAAGCGGGGCGGAUCAAGAGGUGGUGGAGCUGUUCUUCGGGACUACCAUGUAAUGUUUGUGGCAGGAGUGUGCCAUUUUUUCCUAGCUGCUGUCGAUCCGGAGACUGCAGAGCUAUUUGCUUGUCAUCGAGGUAUUCUUCCAGCGCAGGAAGUUAACGCCCAAAAGGUAACGGUGGAGAUGGACUCGCAGACUGCUGUGGGUAAGAUCACCAGCCAGCAGCGGGACUUAUCAAUGAACGGACAAGUUGUCCAAGAGAUUAAGGAACUCCUAGCCCAGUUUCAAGAUUCCAGGGUGCUUGGAGAUCUCCGUAGAGGGGGCUAUGAACAAGGCAGCCCGCGCGCGCCUACGAGCCGCGCCCCACACGAGCCCCGUCGCCCGGCGCCUCGCCUCCUCGUCGCCCGGCCCCGCCGCCUCGCCGGCCGGUCGCCGAAGGGCGCCGCCACCAUGCGGGUCUCAACCCAAUCCACUGCUUUUUUUCAGCUGCUCAGGGCGCCGACGGCGAGAAUCAACGGGAUGAGCUACUACCUCGACCGGCAACCACGGAAGUGGGAGCGCACAGAUGCUACAACCGGCUGGGGAGGGAGCUGCAACCGCGUACUGUUUUUGCUUGAACCAGCAACGGUGGCGAGCUGCAGGAUUCACUCCGACGAGCUGUUGGAAUCACCCGACAAGUUGGACUAG
rnacentral:rRNA from 1 species